GCCUCCCUGGUCUAGUUGGUUAUGAUUUUGGUCUCAUAUUAUUCUUAUGAUCACUCAUCAGAAAGUGAACAAUCCGAAGGUCGCCAGUUCGAUCCUGGCGGGGGGCA